UUCACCAAGGCUUUGGCUGGAACAGCAUUUCCAGAGGUGUCCAGACUGCGUUAAGGAAUGAAGGUUGACUUUAUAAAGUCAAUAAAAAAAGCCCUUUGGAAAACUGGCCAGAUACCCAUCAGUAACAUUUCCUGAUCUUUGGUAAGUAACAAAGGUCACUUGCUGACGGGUCUGGCAAUCAAAAUGUGCUUGAGGACCUCAAGAGAAGAGGGAUUUACCCAAUGCAUACAGGUAUCUAAUGGCACAGAUGGAACCUGGGCUCUGAAAGGCUUUCAAAAAGUCCAGCCUGAGAUUCCUUAUAAAAGGUUCCAGCAAAGCCAAUUUUAAAGGAAAGAAGAGCCUAGAUGGCUAAUAAUUAAUUAUUCUUACUGCACUUUAUGCAAAUAAUCAGACCCCGUAUACUGAAGGUACAGUUUAUUUUGGCAAAUAAGUUCUACUAUAAUUUGCCUUUAGUAAAGAGAGAAAUUGGAGAGAGAAAAAUAGUUUAAAAAGAAGAAAAAGUCAAGAAAAAGUCCACCUGUAUUUAGAUCCCAGCCUUCUCUGUACUCAUAAAAUGAAAUGUAACUGUUUUACUAAACUGAUCUAUUAAAUGGGACUAAGAAACUGGCCAAAGAGUAUAGAAUUAUAUAUAAUAGUUAUAUUUACUCUGAAGCCUUAAGGCUCAACAAAGGUCUCCUAUUAGCUACACUGGAAAACUUGUGCAGCAUUAAAUGUUAUCCAAAAUUUCCUAGUAAACGGUGUAACUGUAAACACUGCAUUCUACUCUGCUGAAUCUCCUGCCAGCAGAAGCCAAGUGGCCCACUUGUCUGAACUUAAAAGAGGCCUUUUUUAGUAUGAGGCUGGCUCUGAGAAGCCAGAGGCUGUUUGCUUUCCAGUGGAAGAGACCAGACAUGGAAACGGUGCACAUGGACCAGGUUGCCACAGGGGUUCAAAACACCCACAAUUUUUGAAGAAGCGCUGACUCAUGACCUCCAGAAAUUCCUGGCUGAGGAAUUAAAAUGUGUACUGUUCCAAUAUGUCGAUGACCUCCUUUCAGGACACCCUACCCAGACGGCUGCGCCCAAGGCAUGGACUGUCUUUUAUGACGUCUAGAGAUUCCGGAGCUCACCCCUAUCUACUCCCGGGAAGAAAAAGAAUAGUUGGCAGCGGAAUGGAGCCAGGAAGCAGAGAGAAGAUGGAUAAAGAUGUCAGACACACGAGCAGCAGUCCCCCAGAUUCUAAGAGCCACCGUGGUGACAGGAGUGUUUGAUGAAGUUGCUGGGCCAGUACUUCUACAUCUCCCACCUGGCAGCCCUGGCCAAACUGUCAGUCUACAGUGUGUCACCUGCAGCCAGUUCAAUGCAUGCCAAGGACCAACAGUACCCCCAGGAACCCAGUCGUAUGGAGCAACGUCCUUCGAGAACUUCCAGAUCAAGGGACCAAGUUUAGGUCUGGAAUCAGAACCUUGUCCCCCUCAAACCAAGGUAGAAAGGACCUUACACCAUCAUCCUGACCACACACAUGGCAAUGAGGAUGAGAAGAAUCCUCGCCUGGAGUCCUCACAGCUGGCUGAAUAAAGCUUCACUGCCCCUUAAAAAGUAAAGGUAACUUUUAAGACGUCCAACAUGCCCUGCUCCAGCCACAUACUGGGAGCUGGCUGGUUAAGGCAUGGCUGAAGCCUGAGGAAACUCCUCGAGGAACUUGCCUUAAUUAAACUUUAGACUUUGAAAAAAAAAAAGGGUGGGGUGGGGUUGUGCGCUGCUCUAAGUAGAAAAUGCUGUUUUUACACUGAUCACUCAGGAAUAAUGAAAGAAUCAAUGGCCCUCAUGCGGGAGAUCUUGCGCAAGCGUAAAUUAGAAAGAGAAAAUAAUCAGAGCUGGUGUAAGUCUCUCUUGGCUAACGACUCUGAUAUCAGCCCUGGCUGGUCCCCUGGUGUUAUUACUCCUACUCCUGACCGUGGGCCCUUGCAUUAUCAAUAGGCUCAUCGCUUUUAUACAGGACCAGGUAAGAGCCGUACAACUGCUGGUCUUAAGAGGCCAAUAUCGGCCCCUUUCAGACAGAAAGCUAGAGAUGACACACACACAGUACCAGAUCCAUGAUGGGGCCCUUGGAUUUACAAGAAAAGGGGGGAAUGAAAGAACCAGACCAGCACCAUCUUAGGAGUUAAGUUCCACUCCCCUCCGCCAUUUCACUCAGUAAGUUUACUUUCCAGACAAGCCCAGGAAAUUCCCUGAAAUCAUGAGACAACCGCCCACCAAUCAGGGACCCCCCACCUGACCAAUCCAGAAGCAUCCCCUUUGUUUCAAGCUGUGCACGCCCACCUGCUGAGCUGGACCAUAAGAAACCCCUGCUCCAGAGCUCAGGGCUCCUGGCUCGGAUCUGUCGCAACAGAAUCCCUGGGAGCCCAAGUUCGAACUUGCAAUAAAAGGUCCUUUUGCUUUUGCAUGGGACUCGGCUCCCUGGUGGUCUUUGUGGGGGAUUUCGAGAUCUGGGCACAACAAUAGUUUUUUAUAUUCAUGUAUAUAUGUAUGGGUGUGUCUUUAAAAAAAGCACAGGAAGGAAGGGUGCAGUGGCUCAUGCCUGUAAUCCCAGAACUCUGGGAGGCCAAGGUGGGUGGAUUGCCUGACCUCAGGAAUUUGAGAUUAGCCAAACAAGAGUGAGACCCUGUCUCAAAAAAUAACCAGGCGUUGUGGUGGGCACCUGUAGUCCCAGCUACUUGGAAGGAUGAGGCAAGAGAAUCACUUGAGCCCAGAAGUUUGAGGUUGCUGCGAGCUAUGAUGCCACUGCAUUCAACCAAGGGCAACAAAGUCAGACUCUCUCUCAAAAAUAAAUAAGUAAAUAAUUUUAAAAGCACAGUAAAGUUAAAAAUCAAAAAUUAACCUAUAGAGGGGUAGAGAAGACAGAGAUAGGGACAAGAUCUCUGAGUUUAACUUGUUAUCCAUGGGAUAGUUUUUUGAUGGAAUUUCUUUCUGCAGUAGGUCCUUGGUCCAGGAGAUUUGAAGAACGAAUUCACCCACCACAGAGAUCAGUGAUGAGAUAGGAUUCAUUAGAAAGUAAUAGAAAGGCCGGGCGCAGUGGCUCACGCCUGUAAUCCCAGCACUGCGGGAGGCUGAGGAGGGAGAAUCGUUUGAGCUCAGGAGUUCGAGACUCGCCUGAGCAACAGUGAGACCCUGACUCAUGAAAAAAAUGGAAAAACCCAUCCGGGCGCCGCGGAGCGCCUGUAAUCCCAGGGGCUUCCGGAGGCUGAGGCAGUGGGGUGCCCGCAGCCGGAGUCUGAGGUUGUGGUGAGCUACCACGCCCACUGCACUCUGCUCAGGGGCAUAGGGUGGGACCCUGUCUCAACAACAACAACAACAAAAAAGAAAG